rnacentral:tRNA from 1 species
GCCCUCCUAGCUCAGUUGGUAGAGCAAAUGACUCUUAAUCAUUGGGUCCAGGGUUCGAGUCCCUGGGAGGGCA